UUUUAAAAAUAGAGGCCAGCUGUAGUGGCUCAGGCUUGUAAUACCAGGACUUUGGGAGGCCAAGGUGGGCUGAUCACGAGGUCAAGAGAUCGAGACCAUCCUGGCCAACAUGGUGAAACCCCGUGUUGGAAAUAGAUGUUGGAAAUAGCUCUUUGGUGCCGCAAAGAAAAAUUAGCACUGAGACAAAGGAUCUUUCAGCAAUGCAAUCUUUACUUCCUGGACUGCAGGAACGAUACUCCUGGUAGCCAUCCUGCCAUGAGAGUACAAAGAACAAAGGGAACACACAUAAAGGCAAAGGAGUCUUUCCCUGUAUUCACCACUACCACAGGCCCAUGGGAGUCCUGCCGGUAUUCACUUAUGGAUCAAGAGCUCUUCAGUCAGCUUGUGGUGAAUGCUGCCAGGCCUGGGACUCACCCUUCAAAGCAUUGGGCUUUCUUCUGCCUCAGCAUAUGUCCCAAAAUACUGUUCAACAACCAAAGCCCAGAAUCAGGAAUCUUGAGAGGUUACUUGGUAUUUUCCUUCACUGUGGCUGACUUGCUACCUAAGCUGCAAGACAAAGUUUCUUUUAUUCUUCCCUUUCUCUUUCUCAAACUGUGAAUAUGCUGGAUUACAUCAGAAGCCUGUAUAUCUGAGUCUCCUUCAAGGUCCUUAGUGUGUUCUAUCUGAUUACUGCUGCUAAUUAUUCAGGGUCCAGGAGCUCUGUAGUCAACAAGUGAUAAAUACCGCUAGGACUGGGUCUUUUUUUCAAGACAGUGGGUUCAUUUCUGGCCUAGGGUGUCUCUAGAAAUGUCUGCAAGCUAGAGUCUGUAAUGAGAGUCUCAUAACUUUGUUCAGUGCCCUAUUCUACUUUGGCUGAGAUGGUAUUUAAGUUGUGAGACAAAGUCCUUUUUAUUUUUUUUUUCCUCUCUCCUCAGGCAGAAGGAAGGGGUCUCUUUUGGAGCUGUGAGCUGCACUGUCUGGGGUUGGGUGUGGUGUGAUCCAAGCAUUCCUUUAGCUGUCCCAGCUAAUGUCUUACUAAGUCACAUGACACCCAAGUCCAUUUGCUCUGAGCCCACCACAACACUAGUACUUGCCUAGGAGUUGCGGUCUUGGGAGCCUAAACAGCAUUUCAAGUUUAUUUAGGACCCCAGAGCCAUUUAGCCCAUGAUGGUGAGGCUUGCUGAAACUCAAGUUCUGACUGCUGGAAGGGGCAAUUUCCCUCUGGCUAAGGUUGGUAUAAAUGCCCCUUCCAUUAGCAUCAACUAAGUUUUGCCUAGUGUUGGCAGAAUUGGGUUUCAGUGCAAAGUCUCACAAUCACUGCACUCUCCCUUUCCCAAUGCACAGAUUCUCUCUUUAAGCCAUCUGGCCACUGCCAGGUAAUAAGGGAGGGGUGGUGUUGGCAAUUCAAGAAUGUAUUUUCUACUCUUUUUAUGCCUUUUUCAGUAAUAAGACAUUAAAACCAAAUACUGUGAUGACUCACCUGAUUUUUGUGUUCUUAUAAAGUUGCUUUUAUAGAUAAUUGUCAAAUUUGGUGUUUCCAAGGAGAUGAUAAUCAGUGGAAAUGUUUGUUUAGCCACAUUCUUCUACAAUUCAAGCUAAUUAUUAUAAGUAUUAUAAU
rnacentral:lncRNA from 13 species